UAUCCAUGCUCCCUGUCCGACACCCUCCCAUGUUGCAGUUAACAUUUCCCUGCCAGUCUUCUUCCCCCAUCAUGCCCAACCGACUGGUCCAAUACUGUUCAAAACUAUAUGGAAAUGCCUCGUCAUCGUAGUUUGGAGUAUGUGCAGAGCACUCAGGAUAACAAGCAGUUUAUUUGCUUGAUGAGACUGAUUUGCCGGGGAAGGGAGCAGACACUGCUGUGAGCAUGAUGAUCACUACUUCAAGUACCAUGGUUUGGAGAAGAAAAGCCGAAAUUGGCACUUUGGUCUUUGGAAAAGCAGCAAACAGGCCUGGCUUUGUGCAGUGCAGGUUUGUUGCAUCGGAUAUGGUGUAGUUUACCUUGAUGAAAACCAGAGUAGUUGUGUUACCUGAACUCCUUUCCGAAAUCUGCAUCAAGGGGAUGGAUCGUGAAUGGCAGUGGUAUUAACAUGACAAGAUCAGAUAAUACAGCAGAUUUGACAUUUAAAAAGACAGUGUGCCCUUGACAGUCUCAACCAAAGCAUUGAACAAACUGUACAACCUGUUAAUUAACUUUUAGAGCUGUUUGUUUGGACUAGUAUUUGUCAAUCAGAAAUAAGUAUUAACGUUAUUUCUCAGUAUGAGAAAACUCCAGGAAUUAGAAACUUACUGAUAUUUACUAUAACUAUGUAAACAAACCUCUUAGGGGUUUAGCCAGGUUAAAGAAAGACAGGGAGCCACAGAAAAGAGACAGGUUUCCAUGUGUCAAUAGAACACCCUUCAUUUAGCUGUGAAGAAUUUUAACAUUUUGAAUGUUACAGAAAAUGUAAGGAACAUUGUAUAAUGUUUAAUUGAAGUACUAUUAGGUUUCAAGUGCCAAAUAUGGAAAGCCUGUGUGUAUUUAUAAUCAUGUUAAUAUAAAGUUGUUAUCAAAACAAAAUCAAUAUUUGACUGUCUUAAGCUUUUAAUUCUAUGAAGGCAGGAGGUUGCCAAUCUAUUUCUUAGUUCUACCUUUUUCAUAACUGUGGCCAGGGGUUUGCAGGCCCUUAUAACACUUUAAAAAAAACCUGAUAAAAUUUCAAUUUAACUUUGUUAACUUUGAUAUGGUAAUCUAAUCUUACUGCAGCUCAUUUCUGCAAUAUUAUGACUGAAACUGUAUGUUAUAACAAUAAGUAUGGUUACCUGUAAGUUACUUAAAUGGAAUUUUUUGACAAGUAUAUAAGACAAAAUUAUUGGAAAAAAUAAGCAAAAAUUGUUUGUUAAAAGGUAUAAUGCAUGUAUGUAGACAAAAACAAAAUGAAUAAUUACUUUGUGUUUGAAUAAACUGUAUAAUAAUUGUUUUCACUUCUUACAUUUGAUAUAUACUCCAAAAUGGCAAUUUAGGAUUUGACUCCAAAAGUUUUGCACACAGUAUCACAAUAUAUUUAUAUAUAUCACAGGUUAUUCACAUCUACUGAUCUCCAAUAGUUCACAUUUAUUGUUCGCAUAUUGUUAACAUUUAUUGGUUCAUAGUUCGCGAAUGGUUCACAUGUACUAUUCGCAAAUUGUUUACAUGUACUGUUCGCAAAUUGUUUACAUUUAAUAUUCGCAAGUUGUUACCAUUUAAUAUUCGCGAAUUGUUAACAUUUAAUAUUCGCAAGUUGUUACCAUUUAAUAUUCGCGAAUUGUUAACAUUUGAUAUU